AUGUACACAAAUGUUUUGAAAUAUAUACAUGUAAGUGCAUCACAUUCAUGUGAUCAGUGUACACGUAUCUAUACAUGCAGUUUACAGCAUUUCACACAUCCAGUUUUUUUGAAACAGGGAAGAGCAGAUUCGUGUACAUGUACAUGGAUGUAAAAUAAUAUAAACUGUCAAGUACAAUUCUUAGACUAAAUUUGUUACUCAUCGUCUCACCUUGAUCAAGUUAUGCUUUAAUAGUCAAUAGUCAUGACAUUAUGGUAUUGCAAUAAAUUCAUGCAUCAUUUUACUGUGCUCUCACAGAAUUUGAGAUGACAGAAACAAAUUAUUUCCAAAACAAACUUGUGAGCAGUCACAAAACUCAAUUGCUCCUGGUCUUGAAAUCUCCAAGACCUUGAGUUACAGUUUGUUUAUGGAAUCUGAGCUGUGCAGCCCAGCCACUUCCAGUGUAAUUUCCAAAAAUGUCUGUCAGACAAAUAAUGUAUUGUUGGUUUCCCUCACAGUCUUGGACCUAGGCCAGGUCGAUGAAAUUAACCAAGGAAAAAACGUUAAUCGUUAUUCCUUCUUCACAAUUUGGAAGUGUUCCAGGAAAGAAAAUGUCUGUUUACCUGAAUCAUAUGCUGUCACAUGACAAUUGUCGCCCAGACAAGCAUGCAAGGGUUUGUCUACAUAAUAGAAGUACAGCAUGUUCACAUGAAAGGUACAUGUGAAUGGAUAUGUUACAUGCUGGACUGUCAGCACCUGUCCUUGGUAAAGUUCACCAAUUGAUGAGCAGACUGCCCUGAAUGCUUAGGUUGUUUAUUUUGAAUUUCUAAACUUGUUGGUCAUUCUAUCAUGCUUGGCCUGUCCAAUUCACAGCCAGUGAUUCUAUGCAAAUAACAUCAUUGAAACAAUCCCAUUUUAUCUUUAUUUCUUUGUAAUAGAGGUCAUUUCGGUUCUCUUAUGAUGCCAAUUUGCCCUUCAGUCGUUUCUGUUUGAUUUAUAAUAUUUCACAUGCCUGAUAAUAUUUAGUGAAAAGUGAACAUCCUGCACACGUCGUGUGAGUUGAUUCUAAGUUUUAAUGAAGAUUAAUUCCUAAAAUAAAUUUGCCUUCAAAUUUAAAGUCGACACUAUCCAUGUACAUGUACCUUCCUAGACUUGAACACCAUGCUGGAAAAAAAAACCCAAGACAGUUGUACUUGAGUGUAAAGUUUGGCAUUGACUUUUUUUUGCAUGAUUGUAUGCAUUUCUGUUUUUAUGAAAAAAUAAUUGCUUUGGAUUGUUCAAACAUUUGUGAUAUAACAAUUCUGGUUUAUAUCGUACCACAAACCUUAACUUACCUGUACAUGUACGGUACAUGUACUUUGCAACAAUGUGCCAAGUACAAUUAAAUUACAAUAUUAAACAAAAUGGUAUACUUCACACAUUGUUAAGAGCCUCCAGCGUGUUCGUGUACAAGGUUUCUGAAGUCUGGCCGACACUAAAGGUACAUGUACAUUGACACUGAUGCAAAUGUAAAGGGGGGGGAGUGUUUCAUUAAAAAAGUCCAACUAUUAAUCUGAUUUAUUAACCUUAAGUUUGAACCUGUCUUGCACUUCAAUUAAUUGUGAAAUUCUGUUUCAUAAAAUCAAUCUUAUAAGUUUGAUUGAAUAUGGGAAAAGAUUAAUAUUAAUUGUAUAAUUAAGAAAUCAAUAUUAUUGGCAGAGCCUAAAGCGCAAACUUCGACCUACAGCAACUUUGUGGCUGUCAACACCAUCGAUCUGCAUUAUAAAGACUUAAUAAUGGAGAGCAAUAGUCAAAACUUUUCCAAGUCGGCCAUCUUGUUUUUGCAGUGCGAGUGGGAAAGAAAAAAGAACGUGGAGGAAAACCAAGAAAUAAAAACUUCACAUCUACAGAAAAGCGUGUUUUGGCUGGGUUUGUAAAGGAGCAUUCACACCUACUUUUUGGAAAAGCUGGCCAAAAGGUUGAGGCGAGAAAGAAGAAAUGUUGGGUGAAGGCGGCUGAAACUCUGAGGGUUGCAGGCAGUCCUCAGACCAGUAUGGAGAGACGUGCACAAAAAACGGAACAAGCUAAAAGUGCAAGUGCACAUUUAUAAUCAAAAGAAAAUCGUUACACAAUUCUGAAUUACAAGAAUCACAAGCCACACUUGAGUUCAUUCCCAACAGUAAAAGCAACACUAGCAGCAGCAACAGCAUCAAUAGUAAAAGCAACAACAGCAGCAGCAGCAACAGCAUCAAUAGUAAAAGCAACAACAGCAUCAGUAGUAAAAGCAACGACAACAGCAGCAGCAACAGCAUCAGUAGUAAAAGCAACAACAGCAGCAGCAGCAACAGCAUCAGUAGUAAAAGCAACAACAAUAGCAGCAGCAACAGCAUCAGUAGUAAAAGCAACGACAACUGCAGCAGUAACAGCAUCAGUAGUAAAAGCAACGGCAGCAGCAACAGCAUCAGUGGUAAAAGCAAUAACACCGGCAGCAGCAACAGCAUCAAUAGUAAAACAACAACGGCAGCAGCAACAGCAUCAGUAGUAAAAGCAACAAUAGCAGCAGCAGGAAUGGCAACAGUAACAGCAACAAUAACAGCAGCAACAUCAAUAGUAAAAGCAACAAUAACAGCAGCAACGACAGCAACAGUAACAGCAACAGCAAUAGUAAAACUUUCCUUUACAACGGCCCCUCGAAGAAGCAAAAGCCACAAUCACCAAGCGGUGAGAUUGAAAAGGAUUUGUUAAUUUGAGAUUGAGAAGGUUGUCCUUGUGGGGAAAACUUUAGAUUUGAAAAGAGGAAAGUAGGAUGUUUGCAGUCUCUUACAACUUCAACAGUGUUGAAUUCUUUGCAGUAAGGAGGUUUAGGCAGCUUCAGCGGUUUUGAAUGCUGCAAUAGUUAAAGCUUGUGUUUGCCUGCUUUUUGGGUAUAUGGCUCCUUCAAAAUAGAUUUGUAAAUUGAUUUGAUGAUUUUUCUAGCAUUGUACUAGUUAUAAGCUUUCCAAUGAGAUAUUGCGCACAAAAAAUGGGCCAAUGAUAUUUCAAAUCUGUCUGAACUGGAGCAUGCUGUAUACAUGUAAAACCACUUUUAUGACCAUGUGAAGGCCUGCAAAUGCAAAAAAGCCAAGUUAUGUCUUACAGGGUAUUAUAAAUUAUUCCUUCCAAUUUGUUCAGAAAAGAAAUCAGAAUUUGUUUAAAACCGUGUAUACCAACUGUAAGUAUUAAAGGGACCAUGCAAUGACUUUUUCUCGGGUGAUGUUGAGUAUGUGAGACGUAUGCAUAGGAGUAUCUUUUUCGGCAGAAAGUAUCCAAAAAUCAGAAAUAGCUAACACAGAGUAUUCUUUCUAAAAUAUUAUUACGUUUUUCUCAUGAUUAUGGGUGUUUGUUGUAAUAUAAAAGCCAAAAAGACAUACUCUUGAAUCUAACAAGAGGAAACUUUGUUCAUUCUGUAAACAAAGAGAAAUAUGAAAAAUCUUUAUUUGAAAGAUGUAAAAGAAAUUACGGUUUUGUUCAUGAGAUGAAGAAAUGAUUGCAUUAAACUCUAAAUUAAAUAACCGGUAUUAAACUAGAUGAAGUUAAUUAAAUAGAUUAAAUUAUCUCAAAUGUUCAAUAAGCAUGUUCAAGGGUUCUUUUACUUCUAAAUACAUGUACGUCACUGAGCUGAGUAAGUUUCUAGCAUUACAAUAAUAUAAUUCUUUGUGUUAGACAAAUUUUGUUGUCAGCAUAUUGCUAAAUCUCUUCCUGUGUAUUAUAUAAGAUCCAGUGCUGUGAAAUUCAAUAUAUUAAUGAAUUUGAACUUGAAACGU
rnacentral:lncRNA from 1 species